GUGAGGAAUAUUGGUCAAUGGGCGGGAGCCUGAACCAGCCAAGUCGCGUGAAGGAAGAAGGAUCUAUGGUUCGUAAACUUCUUUUGCAGGGGAAUAAAGUGCAGGACGUGUCCUGUUUUGUAUGUACCCUGAGAAUAAGGAUCGGCUAACUCCGUGCCAGCAGCCGCGGUAAUACGGAGGAUCCGAGCGUUAUCCGGAUUUAUUGGGUUUAAAGGGUGCGUAGGUGGUUUGAUAAGUCAGCGGUGAAAGUUUGCAGCUUAACUGUAAAAAUGCCGUUGAAACUGUCGGACUUGAGUGUAAAGGAGGUAGGCGGAAUGCGUGGUGUAGCGGUGAAAUGCAUAGAUAUCACGCAGAACUCCGAUUGCGAAGGCAGCUUACUAAGCUACAACUGACACUGAAGCACGAAAGCGUGGGGAUCAAACAGGAUUAGAUACCCUGGUAGUCC
rnacentral:rRNA from 1 species